GAUGAACGCUAGCGGGAGGCCUAACACAUGCAAGCCGAGCGGGAUUUGAGACUAGCUUGCUAGUCUUAAUGAGAGCGGCGUACGGGUGCGGAACACGUGUGCAACCUGCCUUUAUCGGGGAGAUAGCCUUUCGAAAGGAAGAUUAAUAUCCCAUAAUAUAAUGAUUGGCAUCAAUUAUUAUUGAAAGCUCCGGCGGAUAGAGAUGGGCACGCGCAAGAUUAGAUAGUUGGUGAGGUAACGGCUCACCAAGUCGAUGAUCUUUAGGGGGCCUGAGAGGGUGAUCCACCACACUGGUACUGAGACACGGACCAGACUCCUACGGGAGGCAGCAGUGAGGAAUAUUGGACAAUGGGUGAAAGCCUGAUCCAGCCAUCCCGCGUGAAGGAUUAAGGACCUAUGGUUUGUAAACUUCUUUUCUACAGGGAUAAACCUACUCUCGUGAGAGUAGCUGAAGGUACUGUAGGAAUAAGCACCGGCUAACUCCGUGCCAGCAGCCGCCGUAAUAC
rnacentral:rRNA from 1 species